CAGCAGCCGCGGUAAUACGAAGGGUGCAAGCGUUAAUCGGAAUUACUGGGCGUAAAGCGUGCGUAGGCGGUGAGUUAAGUCUGCUGUGAAAUCCCCGGGCUCAACCUGGGAAUGGCAGUGGAUACUGGCUCGCUAGAGUGUGUCAGAGGAUGGUGGAAUUCCCGGUGUAGCGGUGAAAUGCGUAGAGAUCGGGAGGAACAUCAGUGGCGAAGGCGGCCAUCUGGGACAACACUGACGCUGAGGCACGAAAGCGUGGGGAGCAAACAGGAUUAGAUACCCCCGUAGUCCCUGUCUCUUAUAA
rnacentral:rRNA from 1 species